UCGUAUUCUAUCUUUUUUUCUUUUUGUUUUGUUAAUGUUUUAUUUAAUUUUAAUCUUUAAUGUUACACUCUAUCAUUUCAAUGUAUUUAAUUUUAUUUAUAUAUAUUUUUUUCUUUACAAAUUUAGGAUGUGGCUUCUUCUAAUAAACAGACCAAAAUACACUCAGGAUAUAGUGUAUUGCUCUGUUCUGUUUACCUGGCUGUUUAUAUACCUUCUUUUUUUGUGUGUGUGUUUUAAUUUUCACUUUUAAACUUACAUUUUACCCUUUCAAUGUAUUUAAUUUCAUUUCUGUACAUAUAUAAGUUUUUCAUUCAUUACAAUUUUAGGACCUAGUUGUCUAACAAAUAGACAAAAAUGCACACAUGAUCCAGUGUAUUGCUCUGUUCUCUUCAUUUGUAUUAUUAUAUUCUUUUUUUAUUUUGAUUUUCUUUCUUGAUUUCAGGUCUCUUCUGAUUAGUGUAUAUUUCUCUGGGGUCGUUGCUGCCAUUUUAGUUGUUCUUUUUUCCAUCUAUUCUUCUCUGGACAGAAUAACAAAACAUAAAAUUCACAUCAAAAAGGAACAAGAGGGAGUACUGACUGUCAGGGACCUAAGCAGUAUGAACAUAAGGAAGAUGGCAUAAUUAGAGUUCAAAAUAAUGAUUAUAAAGAUACUAGCUGGCCUGGAAAAAAGCACAGAAAACACUAGAGAAACACUUUCUGGAGAAAUAAAAGAAAUAAAAUCUAAUCAGGUAGAAAUAAAAAAGGCUACUAAAAAGAUGCAAUAAAAAUGGAGUCUCUAACUGCUAGAAUAAAUGAAGAAGAAGAGAGAAUUAGUGAUAUAGAAGACAAAAUGAUGGAGAAUAAAGUAGUUGAAAAAAAAAGAUAAACAACUACUGGAUCACAAGGGCAGAAUUCAAGAGGUAAGGGAUACCAUAAGGCAAAACAAUAUAAGAAUAAUUGGGAUCCCAGAAGAAGAGAAAAGGGAGAGAGGAGCAGAAGGUAUAUUGAAGCAAAUUAUAAGGGAGAACUUGCCUAAUUUGGGAAAGGAAACAGGUACUCAAGUACACGAGGCACAGAGAACCAAACAUUGAAAUCAAUAAAAAUAGGUCAAUACCUUGACAUAUAAUAGUGAAACUUGCAACUCUCAGAGGCAAAGAGAAAAUCCUGAAAGCAGCUCAUAGAAAAGCAGUCCAUAACCUACAAGUGCAGAAAUAUCAGACUGGCAGUGGACCUAUCCAAAGAGACUUGGCAGUAAAGAAAGGAAUGGCAUGAUAUACUCAGGAUGCUAAAUUUAAAAAUAUACAGCCAAGAAUACUUUAUCCAGCUAGGAUUUCAUUCAAAAUAGAAGGAGAGAUAAAAUGCUUCCAGGACAAAUAGAAAGUAAAAUAAUUUGUGAUCACCAAACUAGCCCUAGAAGAAAUAUUAAAAGGGAUCCUUUAACUGAUGAGAGAGCUCAAAAGUAAGAGACCAAAAAGGACCAGAGACAUUAUACAGAAAUAAAGGCUUUACAAGUAAUACAAUGGCACUAAACUCCUAUUUUUCAAUAGUUACUCUGAAUGUAAAUGGGCUAAAUGUCCCAAACAAAAUAAUAAUAGUAAUAAUAAUAAUAAUAAUAAUAAUAAUAAUAAUAAUAAUGUAUCAGAUUGGAUAAAAGCAAGGCCAAUCAAAAUGCUGUCACAGGAGACUCAAUUUAGACACAAAGACACCACCCAGAUUGAAAGUGAUGGAGUGAAAAACUAUUUAUCAUGAUAAUGGACAUCAAAAGACAGGUGGGUUGGAAAUCCUUAUAUCAGACAUAUUAGAUUUUAAACUAAAGAUUAUAAUAAGAGAUGAGGAACAAUACUACAUAAUAAUUAAAGGGUCUAUUCAACAAGAAGAUCUAAAAACUGUAAAUAUUUAUGCCCCCAACAUGGGAGAAGGCAAUUAUAUAAACCAACUAAUAAUAAAACUAAAGAAACGUAUUGAUAAUAAUAAAAUAAUCAUAAGUGAAUUUAACAGCACACUCAUUGGAAUGUACACAUAAUCCAAGUAGAAGACCAAAAAAGAAACAAGGGAUUUGAAUGCCACAAUGGACCAGAUGGACUUCACAGAUAUAUUCAGAACAUUCCAUCCUAAAAUAACAGAAUACACAUUUUCCUUGACUGCAUAUGGAAUAUUCUCCAGAAGAGAUCACAUACUCAGUCAUAAAUCAAGUCUCAAAUAGGACGAAAAGACUGGAAUUAUUUCUUGCAUAUUUUCAGACCACAAGGCUCUGGAACUGGAAUUCAGUCUGAAGAGGAAAUUUGGAAAAAACUUAAAUACAGGGAGGCUAAAGAGCAUCCUAAAGAAUGAAUGGGUCAACCAGGAAACUAAAGAAGAACUUUUUAAAAUUCAUGAAAACAAAUGACUAUGAAAACACAACUGUUCAAAAACGUUGGGAUGCAGCAAAGGCACUCCAAAAAGAUAAGUGUAUAGCAACACAAGACUUUCUCAAGAAACAGAAAUGUCUCAAAUACACAACCUAUCCUUACAUUUAAAGAAGCUGGAGAAAGAAAAGCUAUAAGACUAAACCUAGUAGGAGAAGAGAAAUAAUAAAAAUUAGAGCAGAAAUCAAAGAAAUAGAAACCAAAAGAACAGUAGAAUGGAUCAAUAAAACUAAAAGCUGAUUUUUUUUAGCACUUAUUUAUUUUUUUAAAAAAAGUGUUUAUUUAUUCAUGAGAGAUGCAGAGAGAAAGCAGAGACACAGACAGAGGGAGAAGAGAAGCAGUAGAAUGUGGGGAGCCCGAUAUGGGAUUUGAUCCCAGGACCUUGGUAUCACACCCUGAGCCAAAAGCAGACCCACAACCACUGAGCCACCCAGGCAUCCUUGAUCAUUUUUUUAUAAUAAAUUUAUUUUUUAUUGGUGUUCAAUUUAC
rnacentral:lncRNA from 1 species